CACGGGGUUGCGAGCGUUGUCCGGAAUUACUAGGCGUAAAGGGCAGGCAGGCGGAUCCAUAAGUUUAUCGUUUAAGGCGUCGGCUUAACCGGCGUAGGGCGGUAGAUACUGUGGAUCUGGAAUGCGGUUGGGGAAGACGGAAUUCCUGGUGUAGCGGUGGAAUGCGCAGAGAUCAGGAGGAAUACCGAAGGCGAAGGCAGUCUUCCAAGCCGUUAUUGACGCUCAACUGCGAAGGUGUGGGUAUCAAACAGGAUUAGAUACCCUGGUAGUCCCUGAG
rnacentral:rRNA from 1 species